AUAGGUAGAUAGAUAGAUAGAUAGAUAGAUAGAUAGAUAGAUAGAUAGAUAGAUAGAUAGAUAGAUAGAUAGAUAGAUAGAUAGAUAGAUAGAUAGAUAGAUAGAUAGAUCAACCGUUUAAAAAACUUAUUUUGAAAUACAUUUGGUUUAGUAUAUUACAAAAUGGAAAGGGAAAAAAAAGAAUUAUCAAAAAAAGUAAUCCAGCUCUUUCACGUAACAUAUUUAACGUGUUAUUGAGUUUACUCAUUAGUUUGGAUAUAAUAAACAGCCCCAAAUACAGAACAAAAAAAAAGUCACUUAAACACAAGCAAAAGACAAGAAAAUGGCAUCAAAAUAAAAACAUAAAGCUACACAAUACGAAAUCAAACCAUCGAUGCACAAAUAAAACCCAAUGAAACAAAAACUAGCAAGAAAAUAUAAGACAAAAAAAACUACAACAAUUAAAGGGGUGGUGGUGUUUUUUUUCUCCCCUACAUUAGAGUAGUAUAUUUUGUAUCUUAAUGUUUAUCAUCCAUGAAAAACAAAAUGAUCACCCAGUGCAUCAUAUAUCAGAUGUGCUUGUGUGUAUCAUUGUAGAAAGCUCUCGAUUGUUUCCCUAAACAUCUUCAUCACUUUUCUUAUUUCUCUUUGGUUAGGAAUCAGAAAUGUGUUUGAUUUCAUGUGAAAUUGGUUUGUCUCUUGACGUCACCUAAUCCUUCCCACCCCGAUGACAAUAUUUAACCAUAAUCCACUGUUAACCCUCAUUUCACACCUUCCUGACACUUUACUAACACCGCUAGUACUCAAGAGUAGAGAAUGGAACGAAAUGUGGUUGGGCUGACUGGUGCAGCCCAAGCACCUACAUACCUGGCUUGGUCCAUCUUUAACACUCUAUGCUGCUGUCUGCCUAUUGGAAUCAUUGCAAUCGUGUUCUCUUGCCGGACUGACACGGCCAACAGUCUCGGUGAUGGUGCGGUAGCUAUGGCGCACUCCAGAAUGGCAAGGAACCUGAAUAUCGCCGCACUGGUCAUUGGGGUCAUUUUUCUCAUCAUUUUCUUAAGCUUAUUAAAUAAACCACACAAAAUGUAAUACUUACGUAUUACAAGCCAAUCUCAGUGUUAUGGCACAUUGUAUCUGGCAUUGUACAAUGGCACAUUGUAACUGAAUACUUUUUACACUUGGCUCAAAUUAUUAUUAUUAUUUUUUUAUUUUUUAUUUUAUUUUAUUUUAUUUUUACCCAUUUCAUUUUUUGAUGUGAAACCAUUAAAACAGUAUUAAAACUAA